rnacentral:rRNA from 1 species
UACGUAGGGGGCUAGCGUUGUCCGGAAUCAUUGGGCGUAAAGAGCGUGUAGGCGGCCCGGUAAGUCCGCUGUGAAAGUCGGGGGCUCAACCCUCGAAUGCCGGUGGAUACUGUCGGGCUAGAGUGCGGAAGAGGCGAGUGGAAUUCCUGGUGUAGCGGUGAAAUGCGCAGAUAUCAGGAGGAACACCGGUGGCGAAGGCGGAUCUCUGGGCCUUACCUGACGCUCAGGUGCGAAAGCUAGGGGAGCGAACAGG